CGUGCGGUUCUAUUUUGUUGGUUUCUAGGACCGCCGUAAUGAUUAAUAGGGACAGUCGGGGGCAUCAGUAUUCGAUUGUCAGAGGUGAAAUUCUUGGAUUUAUCGAAGACUAACUACUGCGAAAGCAUUUGCCAAGGAUGUUUUCAUUAAUCAGGAACGAAAGUUAGGGGAUCGAAGACGAUCAGAUACCGUCGUAGUCUUAACCAUAAACUAUGCGAACUAGGGAUUGGACGAUGUUAUUUGUUGACUCGUUCAGCACCUUACGCGAAAGCAAAGUCUCUGCGUUCCGGGGGGAGUAUGGUCGCAAGGCUGAAACUUAAAGAAAUUGACGGAAGGGCACCACCAGGGGUGGAGCCUGCGGCUUAAUUUGACUCAACACGGGGAAACUCA
rnacentral:rRNA from 1 species